rfam:Rhizobium sp. Root149 contig_3, whole genome shotgun sequence.
UACCGGCGAUUGAUCACGCCGCAGCCUGACCGCUGGCUCGUCCCCCGCCGCGGUAGGCCGGGCAAAGGCUCAUCCCCCCUCUCCGGGCCUUUGUCCCUCCAUUCCGCCACGACCGUCCCCCUCCCCGGUCGUGGCGGUUUCA